GACGAACGCUGGCGGCGUGCUUAACACAUGCAAGUCGAACGGAAAGGCCCUGCUUUUGUGGGGUGCUCGAGUGGCGAACGGGUGAGUAACACGUGAGUAACCUGCCCUUGACUUUGGGAUAACUUCAGGAAACUGGGGCUAAUACCGGAUAGGAGCUCCUGCUGCAUGGUGGGGGUUGGAAAGUUUCGGCGGUUGGGGAUGGACUCGCGGCUUAUCAGCUUGUUGGUGGGGUAGUGGCUUACCAAGGCUUUGACGGGUAGCCGGCCUGAGAGGGUGACCGGCCAAAUUGGGGCUGGAAUCCGGCCGGGCCCCCGCGGGGGGGGAGGGGGGGGGAAAUUGGAAAAAGGGGGGGAGGCCUGAGGCACAAACGCCGGGGGCGGGAGAGGGGCCUUCGGGUGGAAAACCGCUUUCGCCGGUGACGAAGCGGGGGUAACGGUAAUGGGUAAAGAAGCACGGGCUAACAACGU
rnacentral:rRNA from 1 species